rnacentral:rRNA from 1 species
GUGCCAGCAGCCGCGGUAAUUCCAGCUCCAAUAGCGUAUAUUAAAGUUGUUGUGGUUAAAAAGCUCGUAGUUGAACCUUGGGCCUGGCUGGCCGGUCCGCCUCACCGCGUGCACUGGUCCGGCCGGGCCUUUCCCUCUGUGGAACCCCAUACCCUUCACUGGGCGUGGCGGGGAAACAGGACAUUUACUUUGAAAAAAUUAGAGUGCUCCAGGCAGGCCUAUGCUCGAAUACAUUAGCAUGGAAUAAUAAAAUAGGACGCGCGGUUCUAUUUUGUUGGUUUAUAGGACCGCCGUAAUGAUUAAUAGGGACAGUCGGGGGCAUCAGUAUUCAACUGUCAGAGGUGAAAUUCUUGGAUCAGUUGAAGACUAACUACUGCGAAAGCAUUUGCCAAGGAUGUUUUCAUUAAUCAGGAACGAAAGUUAGGGGAUCGAAGACGAUCAGAUACCGUCGUAGUCUUAACCAUAAACUAUGCCGACUAGGGAUCGGACGGUGUUAUUCAUGACCCGUUCGGCACCUUACGAGAAAUCAAAGUGCUUGGGCUCCAGGGGGAGUAUGGUCGCAAGGCUGAAACUUAAAGAAAUUGACGGAAGGGCACCACCAGGGGUGGAGCCUGCGGCUUAAUUUGACUCAACACGGGGAAACUCACCAGGUCCAGACACAAUAAGGAUUGACAGAUUGAGAGCUCUUUCUUGAUUUUGUGGGUGGUGGUGCAUGGCCGUUCUUAGUUGGUGGGGUGACUUGUCUGCUUAAUUGCGAUAACGAACGAGGCCUUAACCUGCUAAAUAGCCCGCAUUGCUCCGGCAGUGCGCUGGCUUCUUAGAGGGGAC